AAAAGUUUAUUUUAUUUUUAAAAUAUUAGUUUGUAAAACUAAAGAAUUUACUUUUA
rnacentral:tRNA from 1 species